ensembl:lncRNA
CAGACGGGAAGCCCUGCACGUCCUUUCCCUUCCCUCUCGGCGCGGUGUAGACAGCGUGGCCCGUCCAGCUCCCAGAGAUGAGCAGCUUUCUCCGGGGCUCUAGUCCCUCUGAGGCUCCGUCGCGACCCGCAGCGCCAGUGGAUCCUGUGAAGGCCAGAUGGGUGUGGUGACGAGGAACCAAUGCAGAGCUGCAGAUCCGGUGGAGUCCAGAGACGUCCCGCUGUGAGACGGUUCUACUGAACUGAGUUUCCUGAACUCGGCGUCGGUUGGAGUCCGCCUACAUGAAGAGAUUUGGAUCACCCACACUGCGAAACCUUUUGUCUGUAACAAAUGACCGUGUUCCACCAAUAAACCCAAAACAUCCACCACUGUGUACUUUACACCUCUGUUCUCG